AGUAAGGGCUGAUCCACCCAUCUGAAAAUGGGAAGAAAUUCAGUAAUAACUCUCUGUGUAUAUUUGGAAUUUUUGAAUAAAACAUUUCCCCUUCCUCGUGGUGCAAUGGGUGGCGUGGCGACAAGUGCGUGCAGAUCCUUAGUAAGAGCAGCUGGCAGCCAUCCUGAAGACUACAGGUCAUUUAUCCUACAUACUGGGAACAGGAUGCUUUGGGACAACUGCAGUGGUUCUGUAACCCAAGAACUAUGAAUAAAGUGCAAGAAUGAAA